GCAUCCCGAGCCACCAUAUAGGUUGCAAGAGUGGAACGGGAAGUCCUAUAGAUA
rfam:Sugarcane yellow leaf virus complete genome